UACGGAGGGUGCAAGCGUUAUCCGGAUUUACUGGGUUUAAAGGGUGCGUAGGCGGGCCUUUAAGUCAGUGGUGAAAUCUCCCCGCUCAACGGGGAAACUGCCAUUGAUACUAUUGGUCUUGAAUUUAGUUGAGGUGGGCGGAAUGCGUCGUGUAGCGGUGAAAUGCUUAGAUAUGACACAGAACACCGAUUGCGAAGGCAGCUCGCUAAACUAAUAUUGACGCUGAGGCACGAAAGCGUGGGGAUCAAACAGG
rnacentral:rRNA from 1 species